rnacentral:rRNA from 1 species
UACGUAGGGUGCGAGCGUUGCCCGGAUUUAUUGGGCGUAAAGGGCUCGUAGGCGGCCAACUAAGUCAGACGUGAAAUCCCUCGGCUUAACCGGGGAACUGCGUCUGAUACUGGAUGGCUAGAGUUUGGGAGAGGGAUGCGGAAUUCCAGGUGUAGCGGUGAAAUGCGUAGAUAUCUGGAGGAACACCGGUGGCGAAGGCGGCAUCCUGGACCAAUACUGACACUGAAAAGCGAAAGCCAGGGGAGCAAACGGG